GAUUAACGCUGGCGGCGUGCCUAACACAUGCAAGUCGAACGAUGAAACUCAUUAGAUUUCUUCGGAAUGAAAAUGAAUGGAUUAGUGGCGAACGGGUGAGUAACGCGUGAGUAACCUGCCUUACACAAGGGGAUAGCCUCUGGAAACGGAGAAUAAUACCCUAUGAAACCAGACAAUCGCAUGAUAAUCUGGUCAAAAUGUUUAGUGGUGUAAGAUGGACUUGCGUCUGAUUAGCUAGUUGGUGAGAUAAAAGCUCACCAAGGCAACGAUCAGUAGCCGGCUUGAGAGAGUGUACGGCCACAUUGGGACUGAGACACGGCCCAGACUCCUACGGGAGGCAGCAGUGGGGAAUUUUGCACAAUGGGGGAAACCCUGAUGCAGCGACGCCGCGUGAUUUAGAAGGCCUUCGGGUUGUAAAAAUCUUUUGUAUAGGAAGAAAAUGACAGUACUAUACGAAUAAGGUCCGGCUAAUUACGUG
rnacentral:rRNA from 1 species